UACAGAGACCUCAAGCGUUAUCCGGAAUCAUUGGGCGUAAAGCGUACCGAUAGGUGGUUUUACAAGUCAGAAGUGAAAUUUCUCAGCUUAACUGGGAAACUGUCUUUUGAAACUGUAAAACUUGAAGGGCAAAGAGGAAGCUGGAACAAACGGUGUAGUAGUGAAAUGCGUUGAUAUCGUUUGGAACACCAAUAGCGUAGGCAGGCUUCUGGGUGCCACUUGACACUGCUAGGACGAAAGCGUGGGGAGCGAUAAGG
rnacentral:rRNA from 1 species